ensembl:misc_RNA Metazoa_SRP Metazoan signal recognition particle RNA
GCCGGGCAUGGUAGCACACGCCUGUAAUCCCAGUUACUUUGGAGGCUGAGACAGGAGAAUUGCUUGAACCCGGGAGGCGGAGGUUGCAGUGAGCCGAGAUGGCACCACUGCACUCUAGCCCGGGUGACAGAGCGAGACUCUGUCUCAA